GUAAUAACAGUGAUGAGGAGUAGUAGUAAUAGAAGCUGGUUUAGAGAGUUGACGGUUGGUGAAAGUCAAUCCACGUUUCGUUAUGAACUCGCCUUCUGAGUUGCAGUUGUGAACUGAAGUAGCAAUUGCCGUUUAUCCACGUUACGGAUCUAAGCGAAUGUAUAUCGUUUGUUCGAAAAGUGAUCGUUAUUUCGAACAUUGUUGAUGACAUUAAUUUAGGGUGGUACCGCGGGAAUUUAUAACCUCUCGUCCCUUCU
rnacentral:ncRNA from 1 species